AGACAUUCUUCCAGCUCUGGGAAGGUUAGAAAUUGGGUAAACUUAUCAAGCUUGGCCGGUUUUCCAGUUGACUUGCUGUGUCUGAGUGGAAUGACAGCAGAAGAGAUGUGAUCACUUCUAGGCCCAGAUGGUUAAGAAGUACGAGGCUUCUACAUGCUUUCUGCUCCUGUUUAUAAAGAAUCCAGCACAGGAAACAAUGGUCAUGGGUGAUGGAGUCACAAGAUGAGAGGAGCCAGUUCCAGAAAUGCCACCUAGAGGAUAGCCACCUCUCCUUGAAGAACACCCAAUUAUGGGAUUGAGAAAUAAACUUCUUCAACUCCAGCCAGCUGUGGUUUCUGAACAUGCCCUGCCCAGG